rnacentral:rRNA from 1 species
UUUUUCCGAAUUUAUGGGGUGAAAGGGUGGGCAGGGGGGCAUUUUAAUUCAGGGGGAAAAUUCGGGGCUCAACCUCGAGUAAGCAUUUGAAACUGUUGUCUUGAGUGCGGGAGAGGAAGUGGAAUUCCUGGUGUAGCGGUGAAAUGCGUAGAUAUCAGAAGGAACACCGGUGGCGAAGGCGACUUUCUGGACCGUAACUGACGCUGAGGCACGAAAGCGUGGGGAUCAAACAGGAUUAGAUACCCUGGUAGUCCACGCAGUAAACGAUGAUUACUAGGUGUCGGGGGUCCACCCUCGGUGCCGCAGUUAACACAUUAA